rnacentral:rRNA from 1 species
UACGUAGGGUGCAAGCGUUAAUCGGAAUUACUGGGCGUAAAGCGUGCGCAGGCGGUGAUGUAAGACAGAUGUGAAAUCCCCGGGCUCAACCUGGGAACUGCAUUUGUGACUGCAUCGCUGGAGUGCGGCAGAGGGGGAUGGAAUUCCGCGUGUAGCAGUGAAAUGCGUAGAUAUGCGGAGGAACACCGGUGGCGAAGGCAAUCCCCUGGGCCUGCACUGACGCUCAUGCACGAAAGCGUGGGGAGCAAACAGG